rnacentral:rRNA from 1 species
AUUGAACGCUGGCGGCAGGCCUAACACAUGCAAGUCGGGCGAGCAGCGGACUGGUGAGCAAUGUAUGGAUAUCUGCCUGAUGGAUGGGGCUAACCACUGGAAAACGUAGCUAAUACCGCAUACCACCAGAUCAACCCAUCUGGACUUAGCUGGUAGGUGAGGUAACGGCUCACCUAGACGACGAUCCCUAGCUGGCCCAAGAGGAUGAUAAGCCACACUGGGACUGAGAAACGGCCCAGACUCCUACGGGAGGAAGCAGUUGGGAAUAUUGGACAAUGGGCGCAAGCCUGAGGCAGCCAUGCCGCGUGAAUGAAGAAGGCUUUCGGGUUGUAAAGUACUUUUAGUCGGGAGGCGUUACCGACAGAAGAAGCACCGGCUAACUCCGUGCCAGCAGCCGCGGUAAUAC